AUUGAACGCUGGCGGCAUGCCUUACACAUGCAAGUCGAACGGCAGCACGGGAGCAAUCCUGGUGGCGAGUGGCGAACGGGUGAGUAAUAUAUCGGAACGUGCCCAGUCGUGGGGAUAACGUAGCGAAAGCUACGCUAAUACCGCAUACGAUCUAUGGAUGAAAGCGGGGGAUCGCAAGACCUCGCGCGAUUGGAGCGGCCGAUAUCAGAUUAGGUAGUUGGUGAGGUAAAGGCUCACCAAGCCGACGAUCUGUAGCUGGUCUGAGAGGACGACCAGCCACACUGGGACUGAGACACGGCCCAGACUCCUACGGGAGGCAGCAGUGGGGAAUUUUGGACAAUGGGCGCAAGCCUGAUCCAGCAAUGCCGCGUGCAGGAUGAAGGCCUCGGUUGUAACUG
rnacentral:rRNA from 1 species